GAGACUGCCUGGGAAGGCUGCAGGGUCUGUGUGUGAGAGACACGUUUUCUGAUGCAAGAACCUGGGGCCAGAACUGGUUUGGAGCAAGGCCCCUGGUUCAGAGUGUGCAUGUGGGUGGUGUGGUGUCCGGUUUGGCUCCUGUGGCAUGCUGAGUGGAGGAGCUUGGCUGAGCUUCAGAUACUCAUCAUCACCUUGUUGGGUUGAAGGUUGACUACUGUUACUUGGCAACACUGAAGACGGCACAGACCUUGCUGCAGGUGUAACCAUCUUUGGCCUCUUUUGUGGUGGAGGUGAUGAUGACCCUACAGAAGCAACACACAGUACUGUGAACAAUCCAAAGCUGUAUAUUGUCUUGAGAUGUCCCAAGACAUUUGGUGUAAAUACUUGCCUGGCUGAUGAUGGAGCUUGUGUGAAUUUGUAAAACUGUUAAAUAUAUUAAAAAUGCAUUGUCUUUAUGUACAUCAUUUUUUUUAUCCCUGAAUAGGCCACUUUUAUAUCCUAAAACCAAUGCAUAUGUAUUUACGCAUAAGACCUGAAGGGAUUUAUGUAUGUUACACAGAAAAUAGUAGAGAAUUAAGCUAAAGCUUAAUUUUGCUAUA